rnacentral:lncRNA from 1 species
CCAGAACACAGACCAUGACUGCUCUGAGGACGGAAUGGCACAGAGGCCAUGACUGCUAUAAGGACUGAAUGGGCACAGAGGCCGUGACUGCUGUAAGGACUGAAUGGCACAGAGACCGUGACUGCUGUAAGGACUGAAUGGGCACAGAGGCCGUGACUGCUAUGAGGACUGAAUGGGCACAGAGGCUAUGACUGCUAUAAGGACUGAAUGGCACAGAGGCUAUGACUGCCAUAAGGACUGAAUGGCACAGAGACCGUGACUGCUGUAAGGACUGAAUGGCACAGAGGCCGUGACUGCUGUAAGGACUGCAUGAAUGGGCACAGAGGCUAUGACUGCUAUAAGGACUGAAUGGCACAGAGACCGUGAGUGCUCUAAGGACUGAAUGGGCACAGAGGCCGUGACUGCUGUAAGGACUGAAUGGGCACAGAGACCGUGACUGCUGUAAGGACUGAAUGGCACAGAGACCGUGACUGCUGUAAGGACUGAAUGGCACAGAGACCGUGACUGCUGUAAGGACUGAAUGGCACAGAGACCGUGACUGCUGUAAGGACUGAAUGGGCACAGAAGCUAUGACUGCUAUAAGGACUGAAUGGCACAGAGGCCGUGACUGCUGUAAGGACUGAAUGGGCACAGAGGCUAUGACUGCUAUAAGGACUGAAUGGCACACAGGCUAUGACUGCUGUAAG